CGCCACUCCCGCGCGCCCGCCCCCGCCCCGCCCCGGCGCCGGCACCUGAGGCGCUGAGGGGGCGGAACGUGUGGGAGGGACCGGGAGCGGAGUGUAGGCGCGAUACGCUCUCGCUGUUUCUCCCUCUUUCUCCUUUUUUUUUCUCCGUUUUUCUCCCUCUUUCUCCCUCUGUCCUUGUCGCUGUCCCCGGGAGCUGCGGGGCCGUUCCUGAGGGUACCGCCCUCUGCCCGUCCCGCUCGCCCUCAGCGGCCCCGGGGCCCUGAGGGCGCCGUGCCCGGAGAUGGCACCCGAGCGGUGCAGCCGCUUCGGACCGGUCAGGACACCGGAGAGAGGGGACAAAGCGGGACUGAAACUUUCCUCCCCCGAGACGAGAAGCAGAAAUGCGAAACGUUGGGAUAAUUAAAUGCAGUUGUCUCGGAGGGGCUCAAGAAUGAUGCAGUGCUAUGGUGGAGUGGCCUCGCAGUCCUUCAUCAGCAGGGAAGGCUGGAGACGCUUCUUCAGGCCCAAAGUCUUCAAGCAAAAUGACCUGCUCCAACAUCAGUGAUGUCCACAGUGGAGCUGAUUAUGUCAGACACAAAAGAAAAGAGAGGCCUGGCCCAAAACCAGUGUCUGGUUUACAAGUCCAUGGGACCGUCUCUUCAACACUUCACUUGACACUGGAUGAUGUGACAUCUUGAAUAGCAACAAAAGCACAAUUAAGGGUUAAUUAAAGGUGGUGGGGAUAUGGAAGAUUUUUGUGGCUGUGGCUUCGACAGAGCCUCAACAACCACAAGGAGCAGUUCUACAGAAGCCAUCAAUCUUCACCACAGAAGGAGAGUUUGGAAAUGUUGUAUGCCAUAACUAAUACAAUGCAAUUUUGGCUCUUGAACUUCAGGUGCUAAAAAGGCUUAAACGAGGCCAGGAAUACGGGUUCCCUGUCUGCAGUGCAGCAUGGAAUAAUUUCAUUUCAAGAAGCAAACAUGAAACAUUCAUGGCUGUCAAGUGCAAAUAGGCCUAAUUUCAGUUGUUGAUCUCUCUUUUUGGGCACUCUGCUAGGAGAGCAGCAGAUACACUCCCAGUCAGAAACAAGGGUUGUAGAUUUACUAACCCAGCACACCAAGUGAACUGGUUUGCCAAGUCUAACCAACCUGCUCUGCUCUCCGUGCAGCCCGAACACAACCCUCCACACACCUUGCCUUCAGGUUAAAGGAAGCUCCCCUCUCUGCAAGUGUAUCCAGUUGCUCUUUUCUUGCCUAACUCCACAGUUUUGGGGUUUGUUGGAAUACAUCCAUGCUCCAGAUACAAAACUGGGUAUACACAGAAGGUGGUUUGUAUGUCUUGCUGUCCUUCCAGUCUCUGGAGCAGUUCUUAGCCAUGAAAGUCAUGUGCAGUGUCUGUCUUCUUCUGUAGAGGUGGAACCAAUGCUCUGGUCCAUCUAAGGGGGCCUCAGUAGAAAUUAUCAAGGAGAUUUUAAGCUUGGUGCUCUGUCUCAGUUACUCUGAAAAUCAGGCAACCCCUCUCAUCCCCCCAACAAAGCCCUUUUUCCCCAUGCAAGAGGAGGAGCAGGAUCAGAAUUGUCACUGUUUGGGGACCAGCAGGACACAGAGGCACACAGUUCCAAAACUGAGAAUGUUUUAGCUGAAACAACCUAAAUUCCUUGUUUUACUGAGCUGCUUGAUUUCCCUCCCUAACACCUCCUGAGACAGCACUAUCAGCAGCCAUUAAACUCCUUGGUUACUCCCUCUGAAACAGAAGUUUCCUCAUCUCUACCAGGACUGAUUUAACCAAACACUGGGUCUGGUGGCCCUUUGCAAGUGCUGGGCUGGGAUGAGCCUGAAUCACUACAGAAAAACAGUUAAAAACAAACAAAAUGCUCCAUAGGCCAAAGUUUUACCUACCAAUAGCAAAACUAUUCACAUUUGGAAAAAGUCUAAUAUAAUCUCUGAAGGCU